rnacentral:rRNA from 1 species
GAUGAACGCUAGCGGCAGGCUUAAUACAUGCAAGUCGUGGGGCAGCAUGAGUAGCAAUACUUGAUGGCGACCGGCAAACGGGUGAGGAACACGUACACAACCUUCCUUCAAGCGGGGAAUAGCCCAGAGAAAUUUGGAUUAAUACCCCAUAAUAUAUUUGAUAAGGCAUCUUAUUAAUAUUAAAGCUUCGGCACUUGAUGAUGGGUGUGCGGCUGAUUAGAUAGUUGGCGGGGUAACGGCCCACCAAGUCUACGAUCAGUAGCUGAUGUGAGAGCAUGAUCAGCCACACGGGCACUGAGACACGGGCCCGACUCCUACGGGAGGCAGCAGUAAGGAAUAUUGGACAAUGGACGAAAGUCUGAUCCAGCCAUGCCGCGUGAAGGAUUAAGGUCCUCUGGAUUGUAACUCUUUAUAUGGGUACGAAAAAGGGUCAAGUUCUUGUUCACUUGACGUACCAUAUGAAUAAGCACCGGCUAACUCCGU